ensembl:lncRNA
UGACAGUCUGGUCUGGAAUGAUUGACAGGUCCUAUGGAGGAGGCAGCAGAGACUCUGCUCUCCUCGUUUGGAUUAAUUCUGAUAUAAUAACUGUUGGUUUAUUUAUCGGUGCAGCAGCAGAACCUUUUCCACAGACAGUUUUCCUGCCUGUUGGCUUGUUUUAACCAGUUUCUGCCUUGAGCUGAUUCUACCAGCAGACACUGAAAGGACUCUGAUAGUUCGAGUGAAAGUAGCAGUUCCUCCUGAAGGUCAGAGAUUGCAGCAUCUGAGGACCUCUUCAAAAGAAGACGUAGUUGAUGAAGGCGUUCUGGAGCAGGACCAGAAAGACCACGACCAAGCAGCCUUGAGAUCUUAGGCAGCAUCUCCCUCAGGUCCCUCUCUAUCUCCCCACACAUCCACCAACCACUGGAACACAUCUCCAAAGUUCUGCUGGACCAGCUCAGCUUCCCCUCAGAAGAAGUGCUGCCACCUGCCAGAUGAAGGAGCCUUUUGAGAGGCAGCUGGCAUCGUGAUUGGACUGUACUUUGGUCUGUUCCAAUCCAGCUUCAG